GGGCAUGUGGGCUGGUGGUUGGAUGCACUAGGGACCUUAGGAGAGGUUCCUUUAAAUAGGCAUAAGGAUAGAAUCCUAUUCAAUCUCAUAAUACAAGUCCUACUUGUAUUAGAUUUCCUAAUAACUUAAGUUAUUUAACUUACAUUAGGAAUCUUAUUAGGUGCCAACUCCUGGACCCCUUUCACCCAUUAUUUCACACCUUCUUUUGCACCCAAGGGACACCCCAUAUGA
rnacentral:lncRNA from 1 species